GAAAGCAGCUCAGAUCAGGAAACGGGCAUGCUCUGGAAGAGACUCUCUAUCAAAAAGGACGAGGCAAGGACAAGGCAAGCCCAGGGGGGGUGUGGUGGUCGACGCAGAGCCUCAGCUACAGUGUCACAGCCUCCAAUCGAGUGCUCCCUGUCAUCCAGUGUGGAACAUCUGCCUAGUUUACCCUCAGCAAGUCCUUUGAUGACAUUUGAGAAAAAUAUGGAGAGUCUCUCUGCUAUUUUAGCAUCAUGCCAUUCUGGUGAGCCUCGUCAGCAGAAAGCCUCAGAACUCUGGAAAGCGUGGAGACCACACAACCUCCAAUGCCUCAUAGAGAAAGAGGCUGUUGGUCAUCCUCUGUGCUGCCUCUGCAGUGAGCCUGCUGUCAUUCGUCUGGACAUAUCAAUGGAGAUGCACUGCAGCGCAGUUUCUUAGAGUUUUCAUACUCUUCGUUUGAGGAAAAUCAACAGUGCUGUGGUGCUGAUUUCACCUGCCCAGCCUGCACACCUGAAAUGUUGGCUGUUUCUGCAGAUGGAAACAGAAAGCUAUAUCGCUUUGGCCAAAGUGGAAGCUCUGAUGACCCUGCCUUUUUUGAGGGCCUCUUUGUGGCAAAAGACAGUGAAGUGUCCACAUUUACCGAGACCAUCCAAAAAGCAGUGAAAAAUGCAAGUGUUAUUGAUAAUGUGACAAAAUAGCUGUAUUACUGAAAUUUUACCAAAACUGAAUUGAGAGAAACACUGGCCUAUAUAGCAGACCCAAUUGCAUUCAUUUUACUGUGUUCAGCAAACAUCACGAUAAAGAAGAGACUGUACGACCAGGUGAUGCUAACAAUGCGACUGCAAGAGGAGAAGAACAUUUUGGUGCUGGAGAUGGCACAACAUUGCACAUGGUUGCAGAAGCAGGCAGAGGAGCUUGAGAACAAGGUGGCUGAGAAUGAAAAGGGCAACAAAGGACUUUGCUGUAUCUUAAAAAAACAACUAUCCGAGGUGUCAGAGCAGCUGCAAGUGGUCCUCCAACAGUACAUGACUGCUUUAGGUCCUGAGGCCUCUGCCCAUCUUCAUGUUGAGGACGAGGUUCAAAGUGCCCUCAGCAGUCCAGACACCAGUGACGAUGAAGAGGAUAUCACAAUUUAGAUUGAUGCUGCAGGACAGACUGUGGUGAAGGACAUGGACUUGGAUCUGCCUGCCUCCCACUCUACACCUGCCCUGCUGCUGCAAUCAAGCCACCUGGUUUCCAUCAGCUCAUUACCAAAUCUGCACUUAUGGUGCAUUCCAGACAACCUGUAACUCGUUUUCUAUUUCAUAUAUGGUCACCAUGCCACCGUAUCCAUGGGUUUCGUAUGACGUCACACAGUGGUCAUGGCGCCAUCUUUCGGACUACACGUCAACCUGUCAUCUAUAUUCUAUAUAUAUGUUUCAUCAAUAUACAGUCUUAUCUUCAUGUACUGUAAUCCAGGGGUGUGUUGGGGCGACACUGGGGCUUUGUGAAGGCUUCACCUUCGACACAAAUAGUAAAUAAUAGGUUCACUAGAUCACAACAUGUUGUUUCAAAUAUUAUGUUGACAUUACUGAUGAAACUUAGUCGGCUAAACUAAGUUUAAUUGUCAGUUUUCUGACAUGACUAGUUGCAGUCAGACUCAAACCCCACUUCUUUCCAGGAAAAGGGAGAUAACGGCAGCAAAUCUACUCUUUUUUUGAGAGUAGUAAUGGGAGAGAGUACUUCCUGUGAUUUCUUGUAAAGUGAAAGCCUUUCACUUCUGGU